ensembl:lncRNA
AUGGUUUGGAACAGAUCCUUGAAGAGCUAUGCGAGUAUUUCCCCCUUUAUUCUAUUAACUAUUCAAUGUCUAAUAAUAGCACCAAUAACUUUGUUGUCAUUUUACCCAGUCGAUGAGGCGGAGCUAUUUGCUUGUGAUGAUGACGGCGCUGUUAAUAAUGGUGAGCACGUUGAUUCCGACAGUCACGUGGUAAUGUUACCUACAGAGGAUGCUUUACAAGAGGUUGUGGUUAGCGCUGAAUCACAUCAUGAUCUAAACAACGUCACAAAUCCCGCCACCGCACCCGUUCCAUCUUCAGGGGAAUGGUCUCACACGCUCCCAGACUGCUCGAGUGUUCACACCCCAGGUGCUUCCAGGCCGCGUCACUCGCAGGGUCAGGGGGUAAAACGUUUGAGGCUACCGGAGCACAAAACGGAUGAUGUUCCGACCACCAGCCGUUUAAGGACUUUAGGAGAAUAACCAACAAGGGUACGACGAAGGUGGCCUAACAGCGUGGACCGAUUCACAGAUACAUGCGUGGGAUCAAGUGUCCUUCAGUGCUUCGGAACAGGAGGAGGAGGAAUUACCUCACGAAAUUCCUCAGGAAUUGUUCCGUGAGCGUGAUUUAAACAGGAGGCUUGAUUAUGAUAUGCUGCGCCGUGUUAACCAGAACUUUGAGACACUUUUCGACUUGAAUGGACAAACGUUAUCCUAUCGGGAAGCAGAAGACUUCGUUGCUAGCGCACAAAGUGAUGUGGUAUCGAUUUUGAGAAACAUCAUUGCCUGUCAACAGCAGCACAACGAAUCCUUACUGCACACAGCCGAAUUUUGGAGAAGUUGCCACGAGCAGCUGUAUGGUGAAUUUCAGCAGUUUCAACAGAGCAUGAGCGGUGUACCGGCAGAAAUCCAUCAAGUACAAGUCGAGCAAAAUCUUUCUGUUAACAGCCUUACGCUGAUCACAGAACGUUUAAAUCUCAUUCAAAGAAUGUUGACAGAUUUGUUUAAUCAUAUGAUGAGAGGUUGUCCCUGAUAUGUAUUGAAUUGUUGCUUGUUUUUGUUUUGUUAUUGACAUCGAUUCGUUAUUAUCAUUGGGUAUUUCUUACAUUUAUUAUUGUUUGUUAUUGACAACGAAUCAUUAUUAUCAUUAGUUAUUUCUUACAUUUAUUAUUGUUUGUUAUUGACAACAAAUCAUUAUUAUCAUUAGUUAGUUCUUUUAUUAAUAUUGUUUGUUCUUCCUUACUUUUAUUAAUAUUGUUUGUUAUUCCUUACAUUAUUGUAUGUUAUUGUCCCCGCCAUUUAGUGUUGUUUUACUUGCGGAGAAACGGUGGUUUGGAAUUUAUAUAUGUUUCUGUUUUGUUAUAUCUGGUUAUGACGCAUUGUGAAUUGGCGUUGGUGUUUUCAGGAGUGUACACGCUUGCCUUUAAACUUGAAAAAGGUGUAUUUCUGAUUUAAAAAAAAAAAUAAAAAAAAAAAAUAAUUCA